UUAGCUUAGAGUGUUUUACACUGGGGAGUUCCAAUGUGUUUAAAUUGUAAAACUUUUUCCGAGCAUUUUUGUAGCAGAACUCCAUGUUCUAAUAGCCCCGGCAAAGUUGUUUUUAAUACUUUUUCUCUACGAAUUUUCAUUAAAAUUUAAUUCCAUUUUAACUUUGUCAAUUUUCCCCAAAGAUAAAUUAAGACACACAGAGAGAUUGUCAUUUCCUGUUUGAAGUCUCAUUCCUGUGUACAAUGUCAGUCUUUUUUAUUUAGGCCUAUGCCAUUCCAUCAGGGUAAAUAACUUUCUAACUAGUCAUUUAAGAGCAACUCCCGGGAAACUGUGAUGCAAUCCCACAUAUCAGCCAGACUUCAAAAGCUGCCAGAUUAUUGUGAAAGGAGAAACACUGUUUUCGAAGGCUGCUGAUAAUGCCUAUUAGCCAGAAGAAAGAGCCUGAAUCAUUCAAAGGUUUUCCAUCUAGUAAAGAAGUGUGGUAAAAAUCUUGCCCAGAUCUGCAUGUGCUAAGCAUCUACGUAAGUUGGAGCAUCAUAUUAAUGACACCCAGUGAAGAAACGAAAGAAUGAAGUGUAAUUACUAUAUCAAAAAUCCACAGAAUGUGAAAGUAUAAAGGAAAACUCUCAGGUGAGACUCGAUUAUUUUUAUUUCAAAGAUCUAGGUAAAAAUGUGAACAGAUUGGGAGGCUGAGGCAGGAGAAUCACUUGAACCCAGGAGGCAGAAGUUGCAGUGAGCCAAGAUUGCACCAUUGGACUCCAGCCUGGGCAACAGACAAGACUCUAUCUCAAAAAAAAAAUGUGAACAGAUAUAUUGACAUAAAAUUCAUAAAACAUAUGGAUAUACUAAAAACUAGGAAGUCUGGUUGCUUCUGAGGAUAAGAGUUGAGGACCUGUUUCAAGAAUACUUUGCACAGCUUGUACUAUUGCAGUAUUUGAAUUUUUUCUUGUACAUGUAUAACUUUUUUAAAAAGAAUGAGAAAUGCUGUACAAGUGCAACUAUUUUUACUGUAAGUUUUUAUUUCCAUAAAACUAUAAUUAAGUGUGUGGUCAAUAGAUCCUGUUAUAUAGCUAUGAUAUCCCUUGAAUUUGUUUACCUGGUAACACUAGCUCACGUUUGUAAAUCCUUUGGAACUCCCAAAGCGA
rnacentral:lncRNA from 1 species